AGAAACAAAGACGGUUGAUAAAAUACAAGCUCCUACGCCCACUUCCCGACAUAAUUACGUGAUUACAUAAAAAAUCAUCAUCAGGGCGGCAGGAAAUCCCAGAGCGGUCAGGCCAGACAGUUUAUUCAGUUAUGUCUGGAAGCGUUUUAUAACCCCGGGGAUUGCAGAAGUCCCUCAGCCCAUAGAGGGCCAUGUAAUCACAGAUAUUUUCACCAUGGGAAGCCACAGCGGGAAUCAAACCUCUAACCUUGAUGAUGACAGCGCUCUGUGCUCCCCGGCGAGUUGUGAGGGUAGGCAUUUCCACAGCAUCGACAAUGUGAAUGAUAUGAUGUGAGCGCCUGUUGGACGGAGCUGGUUCGAUGUUUGUUCUGGUGAUGGCGCAGCGUUUAAGACCUCUGUCUCCGAACCCACACAGCCUCCCUCUGGCCAAGGCCUGAAUCCUGCCAAACCCUCUCCUCUGUUACUUCCUGCCACUGUUUCCUCUCUCAGCGUCACUACUGUCCAUUUCGGUGAAGACAAAGUACAAUACAAAGUUCUGGUUUCACAAUGAGUUUUUGCAGGAGGAACCAUUACUUACGGACACAUUUAUCUCUGCUUUCAUAAUAGCCCGGACAGCACUGGUAUCUCCUGCGGUAAUCUGUCUUCACUGCCUGCCGGUACGCCGUCUUGUAGGUGAUCCUAAAACAAAAACACAAGCAGACAGGACACAGUGACCCUCCAAUGGCCGGAACAGGAAGUCAGGCCGACAGGAAGAGAGUGAGCAAACUGUCGCUACCUGUGGCGCAUGCAUCUGUAGGACGUCCGAGGAUCAGAGCAGGGCUCCUCUGUCACCUGGUCGUACGGAUGGGAGUAAGACUCCUUCACCGAGGUUGUGAAGCUGAAAAACACAACAGAGAGCACAAAUAUACAUAAAUAUAUCUGGACAUCCUGCUGGAUUUGAAGCGAAAUGUCAAAACGCUUCACUUUUUAACUAAAAACACUUUACAUUGAUGAUGGACAUG